UGGGGAAUUUUGAACAAUGGGGGAAACCCUGAUCCAGCCAUCCCGCGUGUGCGAUGAAGGCCUUCGGGUUGUAAAGCACUUUUGGCAGGAAAGAAACGUCAUGGGUUAAUACCCCGUGAAACUGACGGUACCUGCAGAAUAAGCACCGGCUAACUACGUGCCAGCAGCCGCGGUAAUACGUAGGGUGCAAGCGUUAAUCGGAAUUACUGGGCGUAAAGCGUGCGCAGGCGGUUCGGAAAGAAAGAUGUGAAAUCCCAGAGCUCAACUUUGGAACUGCAUUUUUAACUACCGGGCUAGAGUGUGUCAGAGGGAGGUGGAAUUCCGCGUGUAGCAGUGAAAUGCGUAGAUAUGCGGAGGAACACCGAUGGCGAAGGCAGCCUCCUGGGAUAACACUGACGCUCAUGCACGAAAGCGUGGGGAGCAAACAGG
rnacentral:rRNA from 1 species